CACAGAGCUCCUGAGGCAUCACUUCUUUCUGUUGAGGAUCCCAAAACACAGCAUGGUGUUGUUGAACAACUCAGUGGGUCUCCUCUUCCAGCAUCCAGGAUUGCAUUCUUCCAGGGACUGCUCCAUGCCUCAGUCGUUUGAGCAUGGAGCCACCUACUUACAGAAAAUCUAUCUCUCUGUUUAAUGGGUGCAAGAGAAACAAUGAAGAGCAGGUGGGACUAUCCCUUUGCCAUAUUCCAGAGUAAGUAGGAUCAAGACCGUGAGUGGAGCUGUAACACGACCAGGGCUGCAUCAGUUCUUCAAGACCUGAAGGACAUCUCAGGCCAUUAUCACUGCCAUCUCACUGUCAGGGAAACGCGUGAGAUAUGAGACAUUGGGGAGUGAGGGCAAGCAGAGGACACCUUCUCAGAUGAAAUGGGAGGGAGAGCGCUACAAAAAGAAAUUGGAGCCCUCAAAUUUCACUCCAAGCAAACACACAGGGAGACCCAGACUUGCCUGCUUGGGCCAUGGGACUCUCCAUAAUGAAGCAGCCUGUUUAAGGCUCCUCUGCUUCUUGGGAUGGGGCGUAGCUGCAGCGAGGCUGGGAUGUGAUUUCCUCAGGCUGGGCAAAGGCUGGUGGGUGGGGAUGCCGCAGUGUCUAGCAGUGAAGGAAUGCAGUCCUCUCCCCAUAAAUCUGGCUCUUCAGCAGUCCUGGCAACUUGCUGUGCAAAACUACAGCUUGGUCCUCGUAGAUGCACUAUUAUCCUCUAGCUGCUUGCUGAGGGGCAGGGCUCCUACCCGCAAAUUGCUUGGAAGGUACCAAAAUAGCACCACAAGCAUGGGAACAGAGUGGCAUAUCCUCUUCGUAUUUAAGAGAUAACCCCUAGAAAAGAACUAAUCCUGUAUGUCCCAAAUGAAUUCGGUUCAAUCCCCCUCCAUUGCACUGUUAAUGCAGAGAAUCUCAAGCAGUGAAACUGUGUGAGCUGGAAGCCAUGAAUAAAAUAUUACUGGAAAUA